rnacentral:rRNA from 1 species
GUUUGAUCCUGGCUCAGGAUGAACGCUGACAGAAUGCUUAACACAUGCAAGUCAACUUGAAUUUGGGUUUUUUAACUUAGAUUUGGGUGGCGGACGGGUGAGUAACGCGUAAAGAACUUGCCUCACAGCUAGGGACAACAUUUGGAAACGAAUGCUAAUACCUAAUAUUAUGAUAAUAGGGCAUCCUAUAAUUAUGAAAGCUAUAUGCGCUGUGAGAGAGCUUUGCGUCCCAUUAGCUAGUUGGAGAGGUAACGGCUCACCAAGGCGAUGAUGGGUAGCCGGCCUGAGAGGGUGAUCGGCCACAAGGGGACUGAGACACGGCCCUUACUCCUACGGGAGGCAGCAGUGGGGAAUAUUGGACAAUGGACCGAGAGUCUGAUCCAGCAAUUCUGUGUGCACGAUGAAGUUUUUCGGAAUGUAAAGUGCUUUCAGUUGGGAAGAAAAAAAUGACGGUACCAACAGAAGAAGUGACGGCUAAAUACGUGCCAGCAGCCGCGGUAAUACGUAUGUCACGAGCGUUAUCCGGAUUUAUUGGGCGUAAAGCGCGUCUAGGUGGUUAUAUAAGUCUGAUGUGAAAAUGCAGGGCUCAACUCUGUAUUGCGUUGGAAACUGUAUAACUAGAGUACUGGAGAGGUAAGCGGAACUACAAGUGUAGAGGUGAAAUUCGUAGAUAUUUGUAGGAAUGCCGAUGGGGAAGCCAGCUUACUGGACAGAUACUGACGCUGAAGCGCGAAAGCGUGGGUAGCAAACAGGAUUAGAUACCCUGGUAGUCCACGCCGUAAACGAUGAUUACUAGGUGUUGGGGGUCGAACCUCAGCGCCCAAGCAAACGCGAUAAGUAAUCCGCCUGGGGAGUACGUACGCAAGUAUGAAACUCAAAGGAAUUGACGGGGACCCGCACAAGCGGUGGAGCAUGUGGUUUA